CAAGACAGAGGUCCAGUCUGCGUAGACACACAUUUCCUGUAACCCUGUGACUAGCUGUCAGGUUCAAGCUUUAUGCAAGAUUGCGGCUGUGUCCUUGUCAUACCUUUGGUGACUUAGAAAGACUGCAAACACUGGAACUAAAUGCCUAUUGUUUUCUUCUGUUCUUGGUGAUUUGGUAAUGACCUCAAAGACAUCUUCUGGAAGCCACAGAUGGCAGACCCUCUGGAGAGCCACAAAAGAGCCUAGAUCAUCUUUCCAGCAAGCAUUCUGCGGCAUGUUCCCUU